CUGUGUAUCCCUCUCUCUCUGGCCCUUCCCAACUUGUGCUCUCUCUUUUUUUCUCUCAAAAAAUAAACAUUAAAAAAAAAAAAUGCAAAGGAAAAAGUUACCUAAUUUGAUAGAUGGGAAAUGGUAUCUUCUGAUGUUUUCAUUCAGAUAUUAUUCCUGUGGUACAUGGUUUUUUUCCCCGUCACGUACCAAGUGGCCAUUUGCAGUGCAUGGGUUAUGUGACCAGUACCCCAAAUCCAGUUCAAGUGUCCAAUUCAGUAGAUGUGGGGAAGGUUUUCACCGAAAUCAUGUAAUGAGUUCACCAUUAGGAAGGGUUUUGUUAACAGAGAGGAUGCUGAGCAGAAAAAGGAAUAGAUGACUUCCCUUCAAGCUAUUAAUCUUUUUCCUUUUGACUUAUGUAUUUACGAUAUUAACCUCUCCUUAUGUUAUAAAGGUUUCCUCUCCAAAUUAUCUUGUGCUUUUCAGUUUUUAUUAGGGCCCUUUUAAGCAGAGCUUGUUUAGUUUUAAGUAGGCCAACUUCUGCCAAUGUCUUUGCAGUUUCUGCUUCUGGUGUCUUGAGGUAUGUGUGGGCUGCUUCCCAGACCCUGAGAGGCUUUGUAUUAUUUAAAACCAGCAACAACUCUGAGGAGGCAAUGAUCAACCCCUAAAUGACAUUUAUCCUGGAUAAAAUGGAAGCUAUGAAAUAUGGGCACAGUUUUGAGGAUCUACGGAAUGCAUUUCACCAUAGGUUUCUCUAUGGCCUACAGAGAUCAAAUCCAAAAUCUGUUACAGAAGUGGGAUCCAAAGACCCUGAAUGUCUCCAAGGCCAGUGAACACAUAGGUGCCUAGUACCCACAAAGCCCAAUGAACUCACUGCUUUCUAGCUAACCCUGGAAUUUGAGGGUAAGUCUCUUUGAGAUCUGAGGUCUGCUCUUUGUGUUUUGAGUGCUCCAACUUUAUUGUGCACACCUGCAUUUUGCUUGUUGAGGCUUCUUGGUUAGUCACUCUGUGCUGUUCAAAGAGUGGGGGUGGGGUGGAACGUGAUUCCCUGUGUUUUGAAACAGUUGUUGGAAAACAGGGCCUCUCACAGUUAAGACAUUAAAGGUAAAGACGGGUUCCGUCUGGCCUAUGGAUGAGGCUCUUGUGCCUUUUUGGAAGAUGGCUGAUCUUUUGAAAUUGUAGUGGCCACUUUGGGGAAUUUUUAACUUAGAUAGGUCCACCUUAAGCACGUUUAGAAGAUUCCAAACCUCUCAGAAACCAUGGAAUGUAUUCUUUAAAUGGCAUGUAGAAGCUUCUAAAAGACGAAAAUGACUCCAUAAAGAGCUCUGAAAAAAAUCCUUACAGCAUGCAAAUAGUGUGUUUGGCCAUCUAAGUAGGUACUGUUAAUUUAGUCCACCUGCCAGAAACACAGUUUGUAUCCAACAAUUCUUUUGACUUUUGUACCUGAGACGUGGCUACAGUUUUCAAAACAAAAGCUUUAAGAACUUUUUGGAUGUCUGUAUGUUUAUGUAGGUCUAUGUAUGUUACAGAUAGGUGAUAUUUUUCUCUUUCCAGAUGGUAUUACCAAAAUUGUAAAGAGCUCUAUUUAAAGUGUUUUAUCAAGAUACUCUCAGAAGUAUAGAAACUAACCCGUAUUUUUUCAAGUUUAUGAUCUAAGAUCCUUGAUAAAUACAAGCUAGUUUAAGUAUGCUGGUUUAAUAAAAGCAGGUAUGUCUUCAACAUUUGCCAAAAAAUAUGAUAGUUGUUUAUGUCUAAUCCAAGCACAACUGUUUAAAGUAAUAAUUUAAAGUUUAUACUAACUCUAACUGAAUAAUGGGUAUUCAUUGAAUAUCUAAAUCAUUUCCAAACUUACAUUUAGCAUUUAAUGUUAAUCUACUUUUGGCUUUUUAAUUUUCUACAGAGAUAAAAGAUAUUUGGGUCCAUUAACAAACAUGAUUUGUGCCACAAUGAAAAAUCUACUACUUUAGAAACUGUGAAAUAUAUUUGUAAAUUUGCCAACCCACACUUUUUUUUCUUAGUUUUCAACUAGGAAUUAAAGAUCCUAACAGUUAAGAAUUCUUAUAUAUAUAUAUA